AGCAGCCGCGGUAAUUCCAGCUCCAAUAGCGCAUAUUAAAGUUGUUGUGGUUAAAAAGCUCGUAGUUGAACCUUGGGCCUGGCUGGCCGGUCCGCCUCACCGCGUGUACUGGUCCGGCCGGGCCUUUCCCUCUGUGGAACCUCAUGCCCUUCACUGGGUGUGCUGGGGAAACAGGACUUUUACUGUGAAAAAAUUAGAGUGCUCCAGGCAGGCCUAUGCUCGAAUACAUUAGCAUGGAAUAAUAGAAUAGGACGUGUGGUUCUAUUUUGUUGGUUUCUAGGACCGCCGUAAUGAUUAAUAGGGACAGUCGGGGGCAUCAGUAUUCAAUUGUCAGAGGUGAAAUUCUUGGAUUUAUUGAAGACUAACUACUGCGAAAGCAUUUGCCAAGGAUGUUUUCAUUAAUCAGGAACGAAAGUUAGGGGAUCGAAGACGAUCAGAUACCGUCGUAGUCUUAACCAUAAACUAUGCCGACUAGGGAUC
rnacentral:sRNA from 1 species